rnacentral:rRNA from 1 species
GCAGUGGGGAAUAUUGGACAAUGGGGGCAAGCCUGAUCCAGCCAUGCCGCGUGUGUGAAGAAGGCCUUCGGGUUGUAAAGCACUUUCUCUCGGAAGGAAAAGCUUAGGGUAAUA